GAAUUAGACACAAUUGAGCGACUGAGCAUCCUCACCCUGGAUAAGACGGUGUAGACAGGUCCCUUCCUGCUCCUCUCUGCAAAACACAGCUACAAACCCUGGGGUGACGCAGGGGGCAACCAAAGGGGGUUCUGACGCGUGGAAAGAGAAGGCGAGCUGAUCAGGGAUCCCGAGGUUGAGUCUGAAUGGGAAACAGCUGGGCGUCUAUGAUCCCCCAGGCCCCCGUCCCGACCCAGUGGAAGCCGGCAACCCAGGUGUGCCUUCCUCAAGCAGGCUCACUGCUCUGCUGACUGACCCAAAGCCUCACCAAACACAAGCUCUGCCAGGCAGAACCAGCAAGGGGACCAACCCAGAGCCGCCGACAUUAAGUGGCCAGGUGUCAGGUGGUGGUAUGAUUUUUGUUUCAAUCAUCACAUUUGAUUCAGAAUCCUCGUCGAGGAAGAAAGUGUAUUGCGCCUACAUUUUCUGCUCUUUCCAUUGUUCUUUGUGCCUUCCUGAUGCUUUGAGAUUCGGUCUUUUAUUAUUUCCCUUCUGUCUUAAGAGUUUCUUUUCGCCAUUCUUUAGAUCUGUUGGCUGACAGAGGAGACCCUUCCUUCUGGAACGGCCUGUUCUGGAAUUUAAAAUUCAGUCGAGGGACUUCCCUGGCGGUUCAGUGGCUGGGACUCUGCGCUUUCAAUGCAGGGGACAUGCAUUCUAUCCCUGGUCGGGGAACUAAGAUCCUGCAUGCCACACAGAAUAGCCAAAAAAAUUCACAUUGAACAGUUCUUUCAUUUCAGGCUGCCCUCAGACCUUGCUGGGGACAAGUGUCCUGGCAUCCAUCUGUGAGCUCAGCCAACACGGAUUCUGCCACACCCCUCAGAGCCCAGCUCCACAUCCUCCUCAGAGGCACACCCUGAGGUACCCCCCAGCCAAACCCAGCAGGAGCUGGGCUUCUGGUGCAUCCUCUGACCUCCCUCCUCCUUGGCUCCCCACUUCCUUGUAAUUGACUUAAAAUUGUGCACUUAAAAGUUUGGUUCAUUAUAGCAGACAGGUGACACCUUCAGGAGCUCACAGACUGGGGUGAGGUGAACCCAGGACAGGCGAACAACGAUGGUACAACCUGGUGAGAGCUCGGAGGGGGAGCAGCCUGCUAGGAGCUUCCGCCGGUGGGAAGGGCCAGGUAAGCCCCAAGCCUGCCCUUGUUCAAGGCCGGGGGAUGGCCGGCUGCCCUCCACCUGCGCUCCAGCAGGUGGCGCUGUGGGGCUGGCUCCCAUGCACUCCACCAGGCGGCACUGUGGACUUUGGCUGGGGCUGCCUCCCCCUGCCCUCCACCUGCACUCCAGCAGGUGGCGCUGUGGGGGCUGCCUCCCCUGCCCUCCACCUGCACUCCAGCAGGCAGCGCUGUGGACUUCGGCUGGGGCUGCCUCUACGCGGGGACGCAUGGAGAGCCCAAGAGAGGCAGGACGGGCGAUGUUUCCACUUGGAAAGUGGAGAGAGCAUGCUUCAUGGUCCCCGUCCCCCCUCGCUCCAGAGAAGAGGAGGGGGGUGAAAAUCCAAGCCCAUUUUCAAGUGCUUCAUUUCUAAAUUAUCCUGGAACUGUGGCGUUUGGAGUUGAGAAGAACUUUCGAGAUCUCAUCCCAGACAGAACAAACCGUGUGCAUUCCCUGAUCUCUGAAUAUAGCCCCCCACCCGGCGCUGAGGUGCUGGGGUUUGGUUUCUCCUUCAGAGGGAUCUUCCCUCUACUGUUAGGUCCCCGUCAGGCAGGUGAGAAGGUCGGGUCUCAGAGAGGCUGAGAGACUCACACCAGGGCCUGCAGCCCCUGACUGGGAGGCAGGGCUGGAAGUCUGACCCCACACGCCCAAGCCGGAAGCUCUUGAUGAUGCGGUCUGCAGCCCCGAGGCCCGUGGAGGGCUGGACACCCCAGCCCCCUGCCCUGCAGCCUUCUCCUGUAGUAAGGACCUUGACGAUCCAUCUUCAUCCUCAUCCAACCAGGCCCACCUCUCAGACUCCAGAACUGCAGCCCUGAACAGGGCACACAGGGGCCUCCUGGGGCCUGAGUCUGUGUCCCCAUCAGAGGAGAGCACUGGGGUGUCUGGGCAGCUGACGCUGUUUAGAUCAGAAGGUGAGAGAAGGUGGCCAAGACCUGGCGGGGAGAUGGCAGGUGCAAAGGCCCAGGGCAAAGACCAGCCUGAUUUGCUGUGAUCACAUGAAAGGGAACCAUGGGUGUGACUGAAAGGUCCGCAGGUCACCGUGACCAUCAUCAUUGGCCUCCUCACAGUAGCUGAUAUUUAUAGAACGCUUGCUCAGCACAGGCUCAGUGCUAACAAAGGGCACCAUACACUUAUUAAUUCAUUUAUUUGCUUAUUUAUUUGGCUGUGCUGGACCCUAGUUACGGGAUGCCAACUCUUAGUAGCAGGGCAUGUGAGAUCUAGUUCCCUGAUCAGGGGUCGAACCCAGGCCCCCUGAAUUUGGAGCUCAGAGUCUUAGCCACUGGACACCAGGGAAGUUUCAUCAUGUCCCACAGCUUCCCCAGCGCCAGGCAGGCAGCCUGUGGCAGAGCUGGCCCCUGACUCCAGGGUGCCCACAGCUUAGUCUGCAGUUGUCCAGCCCACAGGUGGGAGAUGGACCCCAAGGUUGCGGGACUCGCCUGGAGCAAGAUGAGAAACCCCCAUCCAGCUCUGAUGAGGCCGCUCCGAGGGAGUCAGAGGACAGGCUGAAAACAGAAGCGACGUUCUUCUCAUCUGCAGGCACCUUCCCUCCAACGUGCGUGUCAUGUGCGGGGCCGCUGACCCCAGGGUGACAAAGUCAAAUGCGUGACCAGAUUCACGCCCCUUGUUCUGGGCGAACUCGGGCCUCACACCUCACACACACAUUUCUAUCGCUGUCCCCAGAAUAAAUGUGUUUGUGAUUUAGGAAAUUCCA